GAAAAAAACAUCAGAAACAAUUAAUUCAUAUUUAUGCUGAAAAAUCUCACCUGAAAAUAUAACACUUCCCAUUAAAGGCAAUUUCAUACCCAAAUUUUCUACUACAUCUUCUUGUUCAAAGAAGAAUCAUUGGCAACAGAAGAUCAGAACAACAUUAAUCCAGAUGGUUUUAAACAAACUAAGAUUCACUCUUCAACUCCCUUAGUGAGAGUGCUACUUGAAAAAUAAGCAUAUAUACCGCACCAUCGUUGUAAAGAUGUGCGUGUAAUAUAUAACGCUUGCAGUAAUAUAUAGGCGAAAUAACAACAGUUGACAAGGUAAGCAGAGUUGGGAGCCAAGAAGCCAGUGUAACUUCCCAUUGAUACCUACCGAAUGUUCACAGGUCCAGUGUUUGCUGCUUUCCUGAAGACUCUUACUACUGGCAUCCCAUCACCCUCACCGUUCUGGACUCUCCAUGACCGGUCUUUCUUUCUUUGUGUCUUUUUAUGUUGUUUAUGGGGAGCAGUUAUGGGCUUCUUUUUACGAGCUGCCUGGUUAGAAGUAAGUCCGUUGGCCAUAUCAAACGUACUUAAAUCACUCAGAACAUGAUCUAGAUGUGCAUUAAUGUCUU
rnacentral:misc_RNA from 1 species